GAUGAAGAACGCAGCGAAAUGCGAUAAGUAAUGUGAAUUGCAGAAUUCAGUGAAUCAUCGAAUCUUUGAACGCACAUUGCGCCCCCCAGUAUUCUGGCGGGCAUGCCUGUUCGAGCGUCAUUUCAACCAUCAAGCCCUGCUUGUGUUGGGGUCCUGCGGCUGCCCGCAGGCCCUGAAAACCAGUGGCGGGCUCGCUAGUCACACCGAGCGCAGUAGCACAUCUCGCUCAGGGCGUGCGGCGGGCUCCAGCCGUUAAAGCACCCACCUUUCGCAAGGUUGACCUCGGAUCAGGUAGGAAUACCCGCUGAACUUAAGCAUAUCAAAAGGGAGGA
rnacentral:misc_RNA from 1 species